rnacentral:rRNA from 1 species
GUGAUUGCAGAAUUCCGCGAAUCAUCGAGUCUUUGAACGCAAGUUGCGCCCGAGGCUUGUCCGAGGGCAUUUCCGCUAGAGCGUCACC